UGAAGAUGGCGACCGGCGCACGGGUGAGUAACACGUAUCCAACCUGCCGAUAACUCGGGGAUAGCCUUUCGAAAGAAAGAUUAAUAUCCGAUAGCAUAUCAAUCCCGCAUGAGAUUGAUAUUAAAGAAUUUCGGUUAUCGAUGGGGAUGCGUUCCAUUAGUUUGUUGGCGGGGUAACGGCCCACCAAGACUACGAUGGAUAGGGGUUCUGAGAGGAAGGUCCCCCACAUUGGAACUGAGACACGGUCCAAACUCCUACGGGAGGCAGCAGUGAGGAAUAUUGGUCAAUGGACGUAAGUCUGAACCAGCCAAGUAGCGUGAAGGAUGACUGCCCUAUGGGUUGUAAACUUCUUUUAUAUGGGAAUAAAGUAUUCCACGUGUGGGAUUUUGUAUGUACCAUAUGAAUAAGGAUCGGCUAACUCCGUGCCAGCAGCCGCGGUAAUACGGAGGAUCCGAGCGUUAUCCGGAUUUAUUGGGUUUAAAGGGAGCGUAGGUGGAUUGUUAAGUCAGUUGUGAAAGUUUGCGGCUCAACCGUAAAAUUGCAGUUGAAACUGGCAGUCUUGAGUACAGUAGAGGUGGGCGGAAUUCGUGGUGUAGCGGUGAAAUGCUUAGAUAUCACGAAGAACUCCGAUUGCGAAGGCAGCUCACUAGACUGUCACUGACACUGAUGCUCGAAAGUGUGGGUAUCAAACAGGAUUAGAUACCCUGGUAGUCCACACAGUAAACGAUGAAUACUCGCUGUUUGCGAUAUACAGUAAGCGGCCAAGCGAAAGCAUUAAGUAUUC
rnacentral:rRNA from 1 species